UACGUAGGGGGGCAAGCGUUGUCCGGAUUCAUUGGGCGUAAAGAGCGUGUAGGCGGCCAGGUAGGUCGGUUGUGAAAACUGGAGGCUCAACCUUCAGAGGUCGACCGAAACCAUCUGGCUAGAGUCCGGGAGAGGAGAGUGGAAUUCCUGGUGUAGCGGUGAAAUGCGCAGAUAUCAGGAAGAACACCCGUGGCGAAAGCGGCUCUCUGGAACGGUACUGACGCUGAGACGCGAAAGCGUGGGGAGCGAACAGGAUUAGAACCGUACGUA
rnacentral:rRNA from 1 species